GGAGGGUGCAAGCAUUAAUCGGAAUUAUUGGGNGUAAAGGGNNNGUAGGCGGAUGGGAAAGUCAGAUGUGAAAUUUCGGAGCUCAACUCCGAAGCUGCAUUUGAAACUCCCUAUCUAGAGGAUAGGCGGAGAAAACGGAAUUCCACGUGUAGCGGUGAAAUGCGUAGAGAUGUGGAAGAACACCUGUGGCGAAAGCGGUUUUCUAGCUUAGACCUGACGCUGAGGCGCGAGAGCAAGGGGAGCAAACAGGAUUAGAUACCCUUGUAGUCCACGCUGUAAACGAUGGACACUAGCUAUUGGAAGUGUCGACCCUUUCAGUGGCGAASUAACGCGUUAAGUGUCCCGCCUGGAAUUACGGC
rnacentral:rRNA from 1 species